rnacentral:rRNA from 1 species
CACGUAGGGCGCAAGCGUUGUCCGGAAUUACUGGGCGUAAAGAGCUCGUAGGUGGUUUGUCGCGUUGUUCGUGAAAUCUCACGGCUUAACUGUGAGCGUGCGGGCGAUACGGGCAGACUAGAGUACUGCAGGGGAGACUGGAAUUCCUGGUGUAGCGGUGGAAUGCGCAGAUAUCAGGAGGAACACCGGUGGCGAAGGCGGGUCUCUGGACAGUUCCUGACGCUGAGGCACGAAGGUCAGGGGAGCAAACGGG